UACGUAGGGAGCAAGCGUUGUCCGGAAUCAUUGGGCGUAAAGCGCGCGUAGGCGGCCCCGUAAGUCCGCUGUGAAAGUCAAAGGCUCAACCUUUGAAAGCCGGUGGAUACUGUGGGGCUAGAGUCCGGAAGAGGCGAGUGGAAUUCCUGGAGUAGCGGUGGAAUGCGCAGAUAUCAGGAGGAACACCAAUAGCGAAGGCAGCUCGCUGGGACGGUACUGACGCUAAGGCGCGAAAGCGUGGGGAGCGAACAGG
rnacentral:rRNA from 1 species